rnacentral:tRNA from 1 species
GGGGAUAUGGCGGAAUUGGCAGACGCUGCGGACUUAAAAUCCGUUGGUUGGAAAACCGUGAGGGUUCAAGUCCCUCUAUCCCCA